rnacentral:rRNA from 1 species
GGGCCCGCACAAGCGGUGGAGCAUGUGGUUUAAUUCGAUGAUACGCGAGGAACCUUACCAGGGCUUAAAUGGGAGAUGACAGGGGCAGAGACGCCCUUUUCUUCGGACAUCUUUCAAGGUGCUGCAUGGUUGUCGUCAGCUCGUGCCGUGAGGUGUCAGGUUAAGUCCUAUAACGAGCGCAACCCCUACCCGUUAGUUGCCAGCGAUUCAAGUCGGGGACUCUAACGGAACUGCCGGUGCAAACCGUGAGGAAGGUGGGGACGACGUCAAAUCAUCACGGCCCUUACGUCCUGGCCCACACACGUGCUACAAUGGUAGGUACAGAGGGAAGCCACCCCGCGAGGGGGAGCGGA